UAUCCAUAAAAUAUAUUUAUCGUCUUUUAAAUUUUAAUAUGAAAAAUAACAAUUUUCAAAGAUUAUGACUACAUUGAAAUUGAAAUUUUAACUAAAUAUUAUUGUAUUUAUAAUUAAUUUUACAACUAAAUCCUUUCGUCAGCUACUUCAUUCCAUUGAAACCCUGAUCUAAUUACAGUUUUGAAUUUUAAUGUUAUAUCACGGUUAAUAAUUCCCAUUUCGUAGACGCAAAGCUGCCCUGAAAAUUAAUGCAGUCAUUCAGAUCAUGAUUGCACUUGUGUACUGACCCGAUCAAGAUCCGAAGGAUAAAGUACAAUCAUGAACGAAGUCAAAUUGUCAUGGCAGUUUAGGAAACACCAAAUUAAACGACUUGGAAUACCUAGCAUUUCAUUGAAUUUAGCCUUGCGUCAGAAAAGAUCAUUUCACGGACUACAGAGGCCUGCUCUCCCUACAUAUCAGAGAUCCGAGUUUGGAGAUACUUUGACAAUCGGGCAUGUAGCUAAAGCGCAAAUUGAUACAACCACUCUCACAAUUUGGGAGGGCCACCGAUGGGUCCUCCUCAGCCAUCACAAUGACACGUACCUGGCAUUUGGGACGGGGAGGCCCAUCGGUCACAUCCUCAGCAGUGCUGAGCUGCGCUUCCUGGAAGAGGAAUUGCCGGAGCUGGGGGAGACUAUCGUUGCUCUCCAUAUGCCGCUGGUUAUCAGCGUUGUGGCUGGGGGGCGUAAGAGACGCCUAAAUAAGCGGAAGCUCCAUAUGGUACGUUGACUGCUGAUUCAUUUCUCGUGCUAUUAAGCGUAAAUUGCGCUUGUGACACUUUAGCCGUAAGGUGACGAAAUCUUGACAAGGACAAAUUUUCUCUUUAAAGAGGCUUCUUUUAAAAGUCAUCACUAAUUUGACUAUUUACAGAGGAUCAACGUUCUGCGGAACCAUUUCGUACUUAGCGCCAGAAAUGAUCCUCGUGUACAGGGUGAGCGCACUUAACGCGCAGGGUGAGCGGGGGAGGAGCGGCCGCACCAUUGCAAGCGUGGUUGGCGGCACCUUCGAGCGCCUCCUGAGGCCGGGGGCGCUACUAAGGGUACCUGGCUCGAAUUAUGGGAACACCGCGCGGCACUUCUACUCCGUGAUUUAAUUUGUAAGGACCCGAGUAUUGCGACUAAAGUCCUGUAUUGAGAAAUUGUGACAGGUAUUGAUUUGAAUUGUAUCAGUAUUAAAUUUAUUAUGACUUUUGUAUGUGUUAUUAAUUAUGUUGUUACUAUAUUUGUAUUGUUAAAAUUUGCAUGUAUUUUGCCCAAUUUUACUAUGUCAUUAGUGGUACUAGCUGAACCACACCAUAUUUAAGUGUUACCAUUAAAGCAUCCUCUUUGAUAACCUAACCCUUUGUUAAACCAAGAUGAACCUCGAGAUUAACCGUGUAUCCUAAUGUUAAUGAGUUAAUCUCUAUUUGAUCGUAUUGUUCAGUACACCAAAUUUGUAUCUUGAAUUGUAUAAUCAAUAAAGUUGAUUGUGCCGUUGAUUGUGACUCGGACCGUUUCACCGUCUAACCUGACGAACAACCCCCCCCCCCCCAGUCAUCAAAUGUGCGGGAGUGAUACACCUGGGGUUACCUCGAUCCGUCUACGUCUUCAUGCAAGAAACGGGAAGAUGCGGUAGACGAGGGCAGCCUUCCAGAUGCAUCACUCUGUCCGACAAGUCUUACGAAUACAACGAGAUGUGCAGGCGUAUCGAACGCAUUGAGAAUUCGAAGAAGUAUUCGGCUACUGAUCGGCCCAUCUUUAAUCAUUCUUACGAAAAAUGGGCGAUCGUGGAAGCGGAAUUGCGAAGGUUGACCCCCUCUGGGUCGUCGGUGGGCGUGUAUGUUCAUCGCUGUGGAAAUUAGUGCCAGGAAGCGAGUUAUCCGUGUAGUAGAGAGGAAGGAUGCGUUCUUCGCGGACAUCAUUAACAAUAUCCCGAGGGACGUCGUCCAUCCCUACUACGAAUGUAUCACGACUGAUGUCAAACCGGUUAAAUUGUACUGUAAUAGGCCUGACAGCUUGAAUCAAAUUUGCCGCCAGUCGGGUUCCGUCCACUCUCCGCUCACCAGAGCAGCGCCUCUGGUGAAGAGGGAGUGGACGACGCAUUGGUCGUAGAGUUCAGUUAGCCGAAGACCGUUCCGUCCCCGAUCCAGAAAAGAUGUAAGUUCUCCCAGUUUUCACUCCUUUGGGUGAUUGUUUUAGUUUUUCCUCUUUCAUGAUGUGACGGAGUGCGCGGGGUGGCCGGCGGGCCACUUCGAACCCCUUAAACCCGCGACUUCUCCUUUUCUUGUUACCUUUUACCGCCCUCUCCGAUCCGGAAGGCCCGAUCGGACUGCGAUUCGUGUUGCUCCUUUUUGGUUGUAUGGAUCCCCGAGCCAUUACAGUACUUGGAUAUAGAAUGGUUCGCAACUGAGAUUACAUUCAAAGUCGACUCUUUUGUUUUGGUUCUGCAGUUGGUGCAUUACUGGAACGAAUUCAUCAGGGACAAAUGUCUUCACCUUGUACACGGAGUGGAGGGGAUGGAAUUUCUGGAAUCCAACGAUUCACCCCCCGAUUCUUGAGUUAUUUCGAAGGGUAAAAAAAUUUCGUUCCACGCCAUUUCCUUAUUGAAAAAAUAUUUUGUGAGUAUGCCUGCAAUAUGAAAAUGCGUGACGCAAUUUUCCGCUUCCAUCAUUUCCUGUUUACGGUGCCGGCAUCGAUGUGCCUUGGUAUCAUUUUUCUCCAAUCCCGGUAUGGCUGUGAAGCCAUGAGAGGUGCUCGUCGUGUGGUGACCCUAAGAAGGGCCGUUGGAAAGGGCGAGCCGGCCGGCUGCAUGAGAUCCGCUGCGUGCUGUGCGACGUGAGUCCCGUGUGACGUACGGGCGCGGAGUGAGCAAGUGAGAUGAGCUCGCGGCUUAUGUAGCAGUGACAGUGUCGAGCUCCAGCCAAUGAGCUGCGCUGGUUGGCGGAGUGGUGGCUAGCCGCCACACCGGCCACCACCAUGUAAGGGGUUUUUCAUCGUUUUUCUAGAUUUGUAUUGUAACAUUUCCGACUGAAAAUGACUCAGUUUAGAGUCGAAACUUCUCGGUUUGCUUUUAAUUGUGUAUUUUAGUCUUGUUUCCCGUCCCCCCCCCUAGUUUUGCUACUGUUAUCAUUGUCUCCGGCUGCUCUAUAAAAUUUAAAAAUUUGUAUCCAUCUCAGACAACGAAUCGGGUAAUUUUAACCGUGACCUUCUAAAAAGAUGAAGAAAAACUACAAUCAUAAUAAAUAAUACACGAAUUUUACACAAAUAACAUAAGAAUUGCAUACUUAACUGAAAGCCCCCCUCCCCCUAUAAGUUACCCUUGUGCCGGGGGUUGUGGUUGUAGUUGGCUUGCAUUUAAAAAAUUAUUUUCCUUCAUUCGACCAUUUUUCUUUCUUCAUUGAUUUACUUUCUCUUUGCAGUUAUUCAAAAGUUGAGGAGCUUGUCCUCGCAAACGGGGACAAACUGCAAUAAAUCGUAUGCCCGCAAUAAUCUUCGCACCGUGUUGACGCGCGGUAAACACCGAACUGCCACAAAAGCUAUCGCGUCGUCCGGAGCGCGCUCAUCAGUCGAGUCGUUCUGUUCAGUUGUUCAAUGUCACACGAGCGCGGCCACAAUUCGUCGUUUCCAGCACGAAGGAACGUAACUCCAUUCCGAGGUUGCCAAAUUGACUAGAACAAUUAAUUUAUUUUACAAAAAUGUACGUAAGCAAUUUUCAUCCAAAAUUGGUCUGUUUUUUGCUUGGAAACUAGAGAAAAAUCAGGGAAAUUUUCAGUCAGAAACGACCAAGAUUCUCUUGAUUAAUAGGCAAUUUACGAGGGGAAAUUUGGCAACAUUGAAAUUAAGUUACGUUCUUUCGUCCAGGAGACGACGAAUUACGAGGUCCACCUCCCUGAAACAAGUGUGGAGUGGGUGCCUCUGUCCGCACAUGAUGGGAUUUAUCGCUCCAUGGCGACAGGCCAUUCUUCAUUGAUGACAUGGCUUCAUUGGCUUCAUGACUUCAUUGACAUGGC
rnacentral:lncRNA from 1 species